AUUGAACGCUGGCGGCAUGCCUUACACAUGCAAGUCGAACGGCAGCACGGGUGCUUGCACCUGGUGGCGCGUGGCGAACGGGUGAGUAAUACAUCGGAACAUGUCCUGUAGUGGGGGAUAGCCCGGCGAAAGCCGGAUUAAUACCGCAUACGAUCCACGGAUGAAAGCGGGGGACCUUCGGGCCUCGCGCUAUAGGGUUGGCCGAUGGCUGAUUAGCUAGUUGGUGGGGUAAAGGCCUACCAAGGCGACGAUCAGUAGCUGGUCUGAGAGGACGACCAGCCACACUGGGACUGAGACACGGCCCAGACUCCUACGGGAGGCAGCAGUGGGGAAUUUUGGACAAUGGGCGAAAGCCUGAUCCAGCAAUGCCGCGUGUGUGAAGAAGGCCUUCGGGUUGUAAAGCACUUUUGUCCGGAAAGAAAUCCUUGACUCUAAUACAGUCGGGGGAUGACGGUACCGGAAGAAUAAGCACCGGCUAACUACGU
rnacentral:rRNA from 1 species